rnacentral:rRNA from 1 species
GACGAACGCUGGCGGCGUGCUUAACACAUGCAAGUCGAACGGAAAGGCCCUGCUUUUGUGGGGUGCUCGAGUGGCGAACGCGUGAGUAACACGUGAGUAACCUGUCCCUUACUUUGGGAUAACUUCAGGAAACUGGGGCUAUUACCGGGUAUGAGCUCUUUCUGCAUGGUGGGGGUGGGAAAGAUUCGGCGGUUUGGGAUGGACUCGCGGCCUAUCAGCUUGUUGGCUGGGUAGUGAGUUACCAAUGCUCCGACGGGUAGCCGGCCUGCGAGGGUGACCGGCCACAUUGGGACUGAGGUGCGACCCAGACUGCUACGGGAGGCAGCAGUGGGGAAUAUUGCAAAAUGGGCGGAGGCCUGAUGCAGCGACGCCGCGUGCGGGAUGACGGCCUUCGGGUUGUAAACCGCUUUCGCCUGUGACGAAGCGUGAGUGACGGUAAUGGGUAAAGAAGCACCGGCUAACUACGUG